CAGGGAGACAACAAAAUGUUUAAUAUUAUUAUUUUGUCACCUUAGGUCGAUCGGUAUCUCACGUUCUUAAUUUAUUAAGGAUUUCAUUUCCUAAGUUUUUCUAGGUCACACCCAUUAUUUUUCCUGGGCCAUUAGCUCAGGUGGUUAGAGCGCACCCCUGAUAAGGGUGAGGUCCCUGGUUCAAGUCCAGGAUGGCCCAUAUCUCUAUGUUGGGGGUAUAGCUCAGUUGGUAGAGCGCCUGCUUUGCAAGCAGGAUGUCAGCGGUUCGAGUCCGCUUACCUCCACUGAUUACCACCUCUACCAUAAUCUGUAGAAAGGAAAUGUUUUGAGUAGUGAUCAAAUUCUGAACGAAUCUAGCUUCCUAAUUAAAUCAUUAAGAUGCUGGACUCAUUGAAUUAAUUUCAUUGUUUUCAGAGAACCUUGACAACUGCAUAGAUUAUUUUUAAAGACAAUAAGCAUCUUUAUUGAUGCAGAUUUAUUAUUUGUGCGAAUGCAUUAAUAACAAUUCUAUUAAGCUGAUGCUUCAAUUUUGAAGUUAUU
rnacentral:tRNA from 1 species